rnacentral:rRNA from 1 species
ACGGGGGGAGCAAGCGUUGUUCGGAUUUACUGGGCGUAAAGGGCGUCUAGGCGGAUUGGCAAGUCAGAUGUGAAAUCCCUCGGCUCAACCGAGGAUCUGCAUUUGAUACUGCUAGUCUUGAGUACGGAAGAGGAAAGCGGAAUUCCUGGUGUAGCGGUGAAAUGCGUAGAUAUCAGGAAGAACACCGGUGGCGAAGGCGGCUUUCUGGUCCGAUACUGACGCUGAAGCGCGAAAGUGUGGGGAGCGAACAG